GAGCGUUUUCUAUUGCGGAGGACACUGGCAAAUGUAAAGCAAGAAGUGUCUUGAGAAGUGAUUACAACAGGGGGUUGCUUUCUCUUGCUGCUGUGACCUCUUCCACUACCACGAGGAUAACUCCUACUAACCUAAUGGAUGAUGACAGACACAUAGUCAUCACCCCAUCUGACAUCUGACCAACUGCCAGACAUGUAUGAGUGUGGCCCCUUAGACCAGCUAGCCUGCCAGCAACUACCAGACAUAUGAACAAGAGCAUUCUAGACCAUCCAGGCCCAGCUAAGCUGGCCCAGACCAGAAGACUUCCCCAGCAAACCCACAGACUGAUGAAAAAGAAUAAAUGCUUAUUGUUUAAGAGUGAAACCAGUAAGUUUUGAGGUAGUUUGUUCUGCAAUAAAAACUGAAACACAAAGCAUGUCUUUGCAGCUCUCAGGAUGGAUUUGUUUGGUGUACUUCUUGGAGUGCCUGAAGCCAACAUGCAUCAGCUUCACAGAGCUGGUCUGUGUUACCUUAAGUUAUCUCAUCAGAUUUCUCAUAGUUUUGCUGAUUUAUAGCAAAACAUAUUUAAGGCUUAAUAAUACACAUCAAGUCUCUUGUUAUUUCACUUGUUCAGUGAAGGUAAUUUUAUUUGCAAGGUUUUCAUUCAUUUUAUUACUUUUUUUUUUUUUUUUUUAAUUGAGCCGGGUCUCACUGUACUACCCAGACUGGUCUUGAACUUCUGGGCUCAGGCGAUCCUCCUGUGUCAGCCUCGAGGUCUCACUGUGUUACCCAGGCUGGUCCGGAACUCUUGGGCUCAAGCAGUCCUCCUGCAUCAGCCUCCCAAAGUGCCGGGAUUACAGGCACAAACAACUGUGCCAAGACUUGUUACUUUUUUUUUUUUUUUUUUUUUUUUUGAGACAGGGUCUCUCUCUUUCACCCAGGCUGGAGUGCACUGACAUGAUCUCAGUUCACUGCAGCCUCUGCCUCCCAGGCUCAAGCGGUCCUCCUACCUUAGCCUCCCGAGCAGCUGGGACCACAGGUGUGCACCAUCACGCGCAGCUAAUUUUUGUAUUUUUUGUAGAGAUGUGGUUUCACCCUGUUGCCCAGGCUGGUCUUGAACUCCUGGACUCAAGUGAUCCUCCUGCUUUGUCCUCCCAAAGUGUUUGGGAUUACAAGCGUGAGCCAUCGUGCCUGGCCCUUGUUACUCUUCUUUUUUUUUUUUGAGACAGUCUCACUCUGUCACCCAGGCUGGAGUGCAGUGGUGCGAUCUCAGCUCACUGCAAGCUCCGCUUCCUGGGUUCAUGCCAUUCUCCUGCCUCAGCCUCCCCAGUAGCUGGGACUACAGGCACCCGCCACCAAGCCCGGCUAAUUUUUUUUUGUAUUUUUAGUAAAGACAGGAUUUCACUGUGUUAGCCAGGAUGGUCUCGAUCUCCUGACCUCGUGAUUCGCCCGUCUCAGCCUCCCAAAGUGCUGGGAUUACAGGUGUGAGCCACUGUGCCCGGCCCUUGUUACUCUUUUUUUAAAACAAAGGUUAAGGCCAGGCUCGGUGCCUCUUGCCUAUAAUUUUAUCACUUUGAGAGGCCUAGAUGGGAAGAUCACUUGAGGCCAGGCAUUCAAGUUCAGCCUGGGCAACAUAGCAAGACCCUGUCUCUACAAAAAGGUUUUUUUUUUUUUUUUUUUUUUUGAGACGAAGCCUCAUUCUUGUCCCCCAGGCUGGUGUGCAAUAGCCUGAUCUCAGCUCACUGCAACCUCUGCCUCCUGGGUUCAAGUGAUUCUCCUGCCUCAGCCUCCUGAGUAACAGGGAUUACAGGCACCUACCACCACGCCUGGCUAAUUUUUGUAUUUUUAUUAGCGAUGGGGUUUCACCAUGUUGGCCAGGCUGGUCUCGAACUCCUGGCCUUAGAUGAUCCGCCCGCCUCGGCUUCCCAAAGUGCUAGGAUUACAGGCGUGAGCCACUGCACAUGGCCUGAAAAAGAAUUUUUUUUUUUUCUUUUUUUUGAGACGGAGUCUCAAUGUGUCACCCAGGCUGGAGUGCAGUGGCACAAUCUCUGCUCACUGCAACCUCCGCUUCCUGGGUUCAAGCAAUUUUUCUGUCUCUGCCUCCUGAGUAGCUGGAAUUACAGGCACCUGCCACCACACCCAGCUAAUUUUUGUAUUUUUAGUAGAGAUGGGGUUUCACGAUGUUGGCCAGGCUGGUCUCGAACUCCUGACCUCAAGUGAUCCACCUGCCUCGGCCUCUCAAAGUGCUGGAAUUAUAGACAUGAGCCAGCGUGCCCAG
rnacentral:lncRNA from 1 species